AGAGUUUGAUCCUGGCUCAGAUUGAACGCUGGCGGCAUGCCUUACACAUGCAAGUCGAACGGCAGCACGGACUUCGGUCUGGUGGCGAGUGGCGAACGGGUGAGUAAUACAUCGGAACGUGCCUAGUAGUGGGGGAUAACUACUCGAAAGAGUGGCUAAUACCGCAUGAGAUCUACGGAUGAAAGCAGGGGAUCGCAAGACCUUGUGCUACUAGAGCGGCCGAUGGCAGAUUAGGUAGUUGGUGGGAUAAAAGCUUACCAAGCCGACGAUCUGUAGCUGGUCUGAGAGGACGAUCAGCCACACUGGGACUGAGACACGGCCCAGACUCCUACGGGAGGCAGCAGUGGGGAAUUUUGGACAAUGGGCGCAAGCCUGAUCCAGCAAUGCCGCGUGCAGGAUGAAGGCCUUCGGGUUGUAAACUGCUUUUGUACGGAACGAAAAGCUCUGGGUUAAUACCCUGGGGUCAUGACGGUACCGUAAGAAUAAGCACCGGCUAACUACGUGCCAGCAGCCGCGGUAAUACGUAGGGUGCAAGCGCUAAUCGGAAUUACUGGGCGUAAAGCGUGCGCAGGCGGUUUUGUAAGACAGUGGUGAAAUCCCCGGGCUCAACCUGGGAACUGCCAUUGUGACUGCAAGGCUAGAGUACGGCAGAGGGGGAUGGAAUUCCGCGUGUAGCAGUGAAAUGCGUAGAUAUGCGGAGGAACACCGAUGGCGAAGGCAAUCCCCUGGGCCUGUACUGACGCUCAUGCACGAAAGCGUGGGGAGCAAACAAGAUUAGAUCCCCUGGGAGUCCACGCCCUAAAC
rnacentral:rRNA from 1 species